rnacentral:lncRNA from 1 species
CAUCUUGUCCACAACAACAACUACAACAACAACAACAACCCAGUAUAAUCCCACUUAGUGGGGUCGGGAGAGGGUAGUAUGUACGCAAACCUUACCCCUACCCUGGGGUAGAGAGGCUGUUUCCAAAUAUACCCCGGCAUCCUUCCCUCCAAGAACUUCUCACCUUGCUCUUGGGGAGACUCGAACUCACAACCUCUCGGUUGGAAGUGAGAGUUGCUUACCGUUAGAGCAACCCCUCUUGUCUUGUCAUUCAAACUUAUUUGUUGGUUACGCAACAUUGUUAUAAACUUUUGCUACUACUCGAUUGCUCAACCCAUGAGGCCCAGC